AGGCAGUCUGGAGAGCUUGUAGCUUCUCCCUCCAGGACCUGAGAUUUUUCUGGAUCGAGGCUGUGCAGGGAGCAGCUGCCACCGCCCGGGAAUGUUACCUCCCUUGCACGGAGCCCCUGCAGGGCCCCCUCUGGCUUUGGGCAGUUGGCGGCAGACACCCCGCUGGGCUUCUUAGCCGCUGCCGCACCCGCUGUCCCUUCCCGGCUCCCUCUAAGUUCCCUGACGGCAGAGGCGCCACAGCUGCGAGCAAUGCAAGGCUGAGCCGGCAAAGGAAAGCCCAAUCUGGGUGAAGGAAUCCAGACACAGACUCGGAAACUGAAAACUUCAGACUUGCAAAUCAGGAUGAGCAACAAUGAGUAACAGACUCCCAGAUCACAGAUCAGCGUGACUGAAACUCUAUCCUGAGAGUAUGCAGCCAAGAAGAUGGAGCACCUUCUCUACCUGGCACUCGGUGUAGGGCUAUGGUUUCACCCUGGGAGGGGCCACCUCAAACACUGGCAACACCCUACCCUUGCAAGGGAGCCCUACUUUGGUCAGAUCUGACUGUGAAGCAAUUUAUGCCCCAGGGUGUUGUUGAAACAGUAGAACAAUCAGCUAGCAAUUAGCGGAGGCUAAUAGUUGGGUGUGAUACCAAUAAAUACAGACCAGUUGGGUGCUCUGGGAGACUGUUCAUUCCCUCUGAGGAGCAACAUCAGAGGCCGUAGGCUGCAGGGGAAACAGACUUCACUCAACUUGUCCAGCAAGUCACUAAACAAAUAAGCCAACAACAAGCUCCAGAAAAGAGAGGAGGGAGUCGGUAAUCACAAUUGCUGCACUAUAUCAUCUAAAAUGUUCAAUUUUCAACUGAAUACCAUGAGUCAUGCAAAGAAACAAUAAAGUGUUACCCAUAUAUAGGGAGAAAAUAAGUAGGCAAAGGAAACUGCCUAUGAGGGGACCUAAAUAUCAGAUUUACCAAAGACUUCAAAGAACCUAUUAUAGCCAAAGAACUAUAAGAAACCAUCUAAAGAAUUAAAGGAAAGCAUGGUGACAGUGUGUCUCAUCAAAUAGAGAAUAUCAAUAAAGAGAAAUUAUUUUUUAAAAGAAUUAGUAAAAAUGAAAAUCUUAGAGUUAAAAAGUAUAAUAACUUAAAUGAAAUAAAUUCACUAGAGGGGCUAACCAGUAGAUUUAAUCUGGAGGAAGAAAGAAUCUGCAAACUUGAAAGUAGAUCAAUAAAGAUUAUACAAUCUGAAGAAUGGAGAGAAAAAGGAAAAAAAGAAUUAGGGAAAAUAAACAGAGCCUUUGAGAAAUGUGGGAUACCAGUAAGCAUAUGAACAUAUGCAUAAUAGGACCAGCUAAAGGAGAAAAGGCAGAAAAGGGAGCAGAAAAAUAUUUGAAGAAGUAAUGGUCGAAACUUCCCAAAUCUGAUGGAAAAUACUAGUCUACACAUCCAAUAAACUAAUAUGCUACCAGUAAGUAAAUUCAAAGGGAUCUAUUCUGAGACACAUCAUAGUGAAAAUGUUGAAAGACAAAAAGACAAUGUCUUGAAAGCAGCCAGAGAAAACAGCUCAUCACAUGUAAGGGAACCUCAAUAGGAUUAACAGCUGAUUUUUCAGUCUUGGCAAAGAGUUUAGUAGUACCUUAAAAUAUUAAACAGAAUUUCCAUAUGACCCAGCAAUUCCAUUCCUAGAACUAUACCCAAGAAAAAAUGAAAACAUGUAUCCUCACAAAAACUUGUGCUCGGAUGUUUAUGAUAACAUUAUUGAUAAGAGUCAAAAAAGUAGAAACAACCCAAAUGUCCAUCAGUUGAUGAAUGGAUGAAUAAAAUGCAUGUCUGUACAAUGGAAUAUUAUUUGGCAAUAAAAAAAGAAUGAAGUUCUGGUACAAGCUGCAACAUGAAUGAACCUUGAAAAUAUUAUACUAAUUGAAAGAAGCUGGUUUUAAAAGAUCACAUAUUUAAUGAUUUCAUUUAUGUGAAGUGUUCUGAAUAGGUGAAUUUAUGGAGAUAGAAAGUAUAUGUAUUUGUCUAGGGCUAGAAUAAUAGGGAAAAUGGGGAGUGAUUACUGCUUGCUAAAGGUUUCUUUUGGGGUUGUUCAAAGUGUUCUAAAAUGAGAUUGUGAUAAUAGCUGCACAGCUCUGAGUAUACCACAAUAUAUUGAAUCGUACACUUAAAUGGGUGAACUGUAUGAUAUUUAAAAUAUAUCUCAAUAAAAACUUUUAAGAAUACUAAAGAGGAAAAUAAAGU